rnacentral:rRNA from 1 species
CCUACGGGUGGCAGCAGUGGGGAAUAUUUCACAAUGGGGGAAACCCUGAUGCAGCAACGCCGCGUGAGUGAAGAAGUGUCUCGGUAUGUUAAGCUCUAUUAGUAGGGGAGCAAAAAGACGGUACCUUACUAAGAAGCCCCGACUAACUACGUGCCAGCCGCCGCGGUAAGACGUAGGGGGCAAGCGUUAUCCGGAUUUACUGGGUGUAAAGGGAGCGUUGACGGCUGGGCAAGUCUGAAGUGAAAGGCCGUGGCUCAACCGGGGAACUGCUUAGGAAACUGUAUAGCUUGAGUACUGGAGAGGCAGGCGGAAUUCGUGGUGUAGCGGUGAAAGGCGUAGAUAUUAGGAGGAACACCAGUGGCGAAGGCGGCUUGCUGGACAGAAACUGACGUUGAGGCUCGAAAGCGUGGGGAGCGAACAGGAUUAGAUACCCCAGUAGUC